AAAUACUUGUCAUCAAAAUGGAUAAAAGGGAUGUAUCUAGAUGUAUUUUAGUUUUAGAUACAUCCCUUUUUGUCCAUUUUGAUGACAAGUAUUU
rnacentral:pre_miRNA from 1 species